rnacentral:rRNA from 1 species
AACCUCCGCAAUGUGAGAAAUCGCGACGGGGGGAUCCCAAGUGCCAUUCUUAACGGGAUGGCUUUUCUUAAGUGUAAAAAGCUUUUGGAAUAAGAGCUGGGCAAGACCGGUGCCAGCCGCCGCGGUAACACCGGCAGCUCUAGUGGUAACAAUUUUUAUUGGGCCUAAAGCGUCCGUAGCCGGUUUAAUAAGUCUCUGGUGAAAUCCUGUAGCUUAACUGUGGGAAUUGCUGGAGAUACUAUUAGACUUGAGACCGGGAGAGGUUAGAGGUACUCCCAGGGUAGAGGUGAAAUUCUGUAAUCCUGGGAGGACCGCCUGUUGCGAAGGCGUCUAACUGGAACGGUUCUGACGGUGAGGGACGAAAGUUAGGGGCGCGAACCGGAUUAGAUACCCGGGUAGUCCUAACUGUAAACGAUGCGGACUUGGUGUUGGGGUGGCUUUGAGCUGCUCCAGUGCCGAAGGGAAGCUGUUAAGUCCGCCGCCUGGGAAGUACGGUCGCAAGACUGAAACUUAAAGGAAUU